UGGGUAACCUGCCUUAUAGUGGGGGAUAGCCUUUCGAAAGGAAGAUUAAUACCNCAUAAGAUUGUAGUAUCGCAUGAUAUAGCAAUUAAAGGAGCAAUUCGCUAUAAGAUGGACCCGCGUCGCAUUAGCUAGUUGGUGAGGUAAUGGCUCACCAAGGCGACGAUGCGUAGCCGACCUGAGAGGGUGAUCGGCCACAUUGGGGACUGAGACACGGCCCAGACUCCUACGGGAGGCAGCAUG
rnacentral:rRNA from 1 species